GUGUGUGUGUGUGAUGGAUCCCUACAAAGAGUGUUUACGUUAGAGAUGCAGCAAUUAGAACAAAGCCAACACCCCCUUUAAGCACCGUGACACAUAACACAGACGUGUAUGGAAAUAGAAUUUUUAUAAAUAUGUAUGCUGUUUUCCCUCCGUCAUUCAGGGGGGAGCAUUAUGUCUCCGCAGAUGUCAAUGAGGCCUGACCGGAGGUGGACACAUGGGCUUUGACGCCUGGUUUCAGGUAAUAUCACAUUGAAUGGAUGCAGCACAGCACGUCUUUUGUCUCUAUGUUGGUCACGUACGUGCCUGUUUUUAGGGAGAAAACUUGAUUCCAGAUAAACAACCCUUUUCUCAAACUGAUUUCAUUGUUGGUACAUUACAAAACAUUGAGUUACAAACUGAUAUUAAAGAGUUGAGACUAGAUCUUUUAAAAAUAGUUGAAGAGUAUGAGGGUCUGAUGGUGGUAGAUUUCUUUGUUCUUAUUUACAAGUUGACUUUAGGGCUGCGACUAAUAACUAUUUUUAGUUGCUAGUUACACACCGGUAAAGUUUCAGUUGGAUCCAAUCUGCAACCUCAACCACCAGAUGCCUCGAAGUCUUACAAACUAGACCUUCAAUGGCGGCUCACCUGUGUUUGAUCCAGGGAAUCCGUGCUCAAAUCUGCAGGUCUGCACUUUGAAGAUAAUACAUCUUGUCAGAAGAUUUAACAAGUGCAGGACUGACUGUGAGAGACGGCGAGGAUGAAAGAAAGCCUGCAGCACACCUCCUUUCUGCUGUGAGGGGAUUUGAAUUCUCUGCCAGCUCCAAUUCCACCCUAGACUUCCCUCGGACUGGCAGGCGGGCGUGCGUUUUGAACAUGGAUGUUUGCGUUAGCUAACGUUUUCAUGACUCACCUUCGAGCAUUGACUCGUCGUUCAUAUUUUGAAAAAUAUCUCAACUGACGCAAGAUUUUCUACACCGAGUUGAGGGGAACUUACACUUUUCCAUCCGAUGUCCCUCUCAAAUACAAGUGUAACUCCAGCUAUAGUGAGAAUACUGAUAAAGACGUUGCUUACAAGCCAAACUGUUUUAUGUAUCAUAAAGCAUGACCUAAAAUCACUUAAACCUAAAUCCACCUCGGCCAGCUACGUCAACAUCCUGCAGUAACAAUGUUCCAAUCAUGUAGCAACGUGUAUUGUCAGAUAAUCCUUCCCGAUGAGAGGCUUAUGUCCAUGUCCUUAUUCCCCGCUGGGCAUUUCACCAUCAAAGCCUCUUGUACAAUUUUAAGACCUUUCCCUUUUCCAUUUCACAUUAUUAGUGAUGUCGAGGAUACACAGAAAACUGUUAACACAGGCACUGGGCGAUGGAGUGCACGCUUAUUUUCAUUAUGAAAUUCAUUUAAGGCAAUGCAAUAACAAGCAGACCACAGAAAUUGUGUUUUACAGCACUGACGAGUUAGCCCCUUGCUAAUAAGUGGACCACAAAGGCAAUGGAUUUUAUCUUUAGAUGGACAGUUUUCUGUAGAUAUGUUCCCCUCCUGUAGAAUGGAGGCAGAUAUAUAUCACAGAUUGAUGUGUGAUUAUGUAAAACCCGUUGAACCUAACAGGAAAGAGACAUAUUUUGGUCAAUGUUGACAAAAGAAAAAUGGGCCACUGACUUUACGGAGGGAUUUGCACGGCAUUAGAAAAUAAAAGAUGUUUUUGCACAUUCACCCUUGAAGGCGUCAAUCCAGGUCAUGUAGCAACUCAAAUGUGAGGCUCUCUGUCUUUCAUCCGUCUAUUUCACAGAUGAGUUCACGGUUUCAUUAUCAGCUGCUCUUUGGUGCCUGUGCUACACCAACCAGCUCAGACAAACAUCACCUGUCGCGUAUCGAUCAAUUCCUCCUCUAUGCUGCAGUGGGGAAUAAAUUCAUUCUACCUGACACCAGGUGGAUCAUUUUGUGAUUCAAACACAUCGUGUGGUGGAUUUUCCGUUAAAGUUAUACAGUAAUACAAAUUUUUAAAACAACGUGAAUUGACUAGUUGGAGAUAAAUGCCCUGCCGUUGCUCAACUAAACAUCAUGAACCACAACAUUGUGAAAAUGUGUUCUUUGUUGGAGACAAUGGUGAAUGUUUCCUGAAGAAGACUAAAUAAAAAAUUUAAAUAAA
ensembl:lncRNA